CGCUGGGGUUUUGUGCUGGAUAUUUAUCAAACAUAAAAACAGCCCCAAUGCAACCCAAAUGAUGGCUGGGGUUUUAAUCAAGAAACAAACUCACUCCAGCUCCAUGGGAUCCGACGACAUCAUGCAGCCGAGGCCUUGCGGCCAAGACGAUGCGCCCGCCAUCUAGGAAAUCUGGUGGCAGUUGCGACGAAGGAGCCUUGACUGCCUCUGUGCCAAGGUCGCUCAGAUCUUGCGGCAUAUCAACACCCCACUCACGGACAUCAUCCGCAACCAUGCCCUCCCCUACCUCCCUGCCGCCUCCGACCUCCGCUUUCGCUUCGUCUCCGCCUCCUGAUCCCAAGUCAUCUCCUCCCCCAACUUUGCCCUCACCCAGUCCAGCUGCCACCGCUCCAUCUCUGGCAUCUUCUCCUCCAUCGCCUCCUGCCCGUCCGUCGCCCCCUUCGAUCCAAUCACCCAUGCCCUCCCCGACCCCUCUCUUUCCUUCCUUCCACACCCCACGAUCAUCGUCCGAUCCUCAUCAAUGGCUUCCUCUGCUGCUUCACGCCUGUCCACCGCCCCUCCUACUUCGUCUGUAACCCAACCACCGCCGCCUGGGCCAAGAUCCUACCCCCUCCCCCGCCCAUCCACCCAGGCCCGACCCCACCCUUGCCCUCAUCUUUGAGCCCUCCGCUUAUAAUCUCGAGUCGCACUAUGCCAUGGUCAUCGCCUUCCAGAUCACCCGCACGAUCGGGGAACCAUCCUAAGAUCCCUUAGCGGCUGGAGAUCAAUGGAGGGGCAGUGGUGCAGCGGUCGACGAAGUUGCUGCUAAACGUGAUGAUCGAGCGAAAUGUGAGGCUGGUGCUCAUGGUGAUGUCGUCAGAGAACACGAUGGCAGAUCUGGUCUAGACAGUGAUGGAGACGUACGCCAAGCAGGGCCACCGACCACCUCUCCCCCACAGCGAUCCCAAAGCCUUCGACCUCCACUACUCUCGGUAUAGCCUAGAGAAUGUGGAGAUCUCCAUUGAAGAAAUUCAGUCAGCAGUUAGUGCAAUACUAGAAGAAAAUAUGGAUGCCAUACUGGAGUUGUGCUAUCAUAUAAAUGGUUUUUUCUUUAAAUAAAAAAUUCUAUGCUUUUGUAUAUUUCAAUGGCAGCUAUAUUAAUUUUUGUGAUUUACUUCUCGAAUGACGGUCGUCGAAGAUCAACCACAGGCACCAUCAUCUAAGUGCUGUGGGAUUUGCAUUUUGCUGAAAUACUAUGUUCACCUUUAUCAUUCAGCAUAGGAGUUUUUGAGCAUUGUCGAGUGUCUUUUGAGUAGGAAAAUCAUAUUGCAGAAAAUCUAGCUCUAGGACCACUGCAAUUCAUUUUUAUUAUAUUCGUAGCUAAAAGAAUUGCACUUCAGUUUUGUAAUUGUUCUUGAAUUCUUAUUUUUGGAGCCCCUAUUGUGUCAAACUUUCGCAAUAUUUAUGGAUUUUCCAUAAAAGGCUUCAUAGACCCAUGCAAAAUGUAUUAGUCAUUCUUCCCUUCAUUCC